AUGUACUUGCAGAAAUCUGUACAGGCUAAGCAUGAAUUUCCUUCAUUUUUCGGUCCUGAGCCAAGUCUUUACUCUUUGAAGAUGUCAUUAAAACCACCUCAAAGUCUCUCUGCCUCACACUGUUAUUUUCAGGAAUUGCUUAAAGAGAGAGUGCUGUGACAAACAUGAAGAGAGCAACUGCUGCCCAGAGAACGGAAGUGGGUUACAGCUCGGAGGCA
rnacentral:lncRNA from 1 species